rnacentral:tRNA from 1 species
GGUGAGUUUAGCUCAGUAGGUUAGAGCAUCAGAUUGUGGUCCUGAGGGUCGUGGGUUCGAUUCCCACAACUCACCCCAC